CUUUAGACUGCGUGGUCGGGGAAGGCAGGCUGUGCGGAGCAGAGAGCCGAAUCACACAGCGUCACAUCGGGUCUGCGGGCUGCUCUAUCUGUUCCACGUGAUAGUACUCGAAGGUGGGGCCUUUGGGAGAGGAUGCCGUCAUAAACGAUUAGCUCCUCCAUGAAGGGAUUAAUGAAUGCCCUUAUGACAGAGAGCCCAUGAAGAGCCUCUAUCAUGUGAGUUCACAUGGAGGAGAUGGAACUUAUGAACAUGGAAGUCAGGUUUCAUCAAACUCUGAAUCUGAAUUUCAUCAAAAGCUGAAAUCUGGGCGAAAUCUCUCCCAAACAGUUGAUGCUGAGCAAAACAUACAGCACACAGAACACAGCAAGCUCAAAGGCUGGAAGGCAGAGGCUGCAAGAACAUAAUCCACAUGAACAAAAUAUUGGGCAAGAUCAUUGGAUUAAUUCAAGUCAUACAAGGACUGAUUUUAUCUUGUUCUUCAGAUCCAGGGUGACCUCACUUCAUCAUUGGGCCCAGCCAAUUAAAAGGACUACUGUAAGUACAGCCUCAGCGACCAGCUCAAGAACACUUGAUAAGUUAUGGCAAAGCUCCUAUCUGACUUCCAUAUUAGCCACCAUACCCUGAUACUACUUUGCCAGUUCUAAGACAAGGUGCCAUGCACCACUGAAGAGAAAGAGGCAACAAAGCAGACACCCAUGAAGAAGAAGAAAUGAGGACCCAAGAGGUGAAGAGUGAAUCCCUUCCUGAGGUCCAGUCUCAUGCCUAUCAACAGGUUUUGAGUAACAAGCAGCCAGACCUGAGUUUGGUAACAGUUUUCCUUUCUGCAUAAAAAGGUUCUUCAUCAAUUCAUUCUUCUCUGCAAGACAAAGAAGUUCCCAUAUCCCUUUACUGUGGUACUAGUGCUUUUGUUGUUAUUGUUAUUGUUAAGGAAUGAAAUGAAUGAAGUUAUAUCUACAACUGGCUCAGACAGCAGUACCAAGAUGGUGGAAGGUUAUCAAAAGUUAAAUUAAACUAGGAGGAAUUUGAAACAAGACUUGAUAAUCAUGAGGACACAGAAAGUAUCCAUUCCUUCUUAGGAAUCCCAGGAUCCUUGGAAAGUGUAUCAGGGCACAGCAAUAUUUGAACUCAAGUCAUUUUAUCUGGACAUUAAAAAAAAGGAUAUAAUCUAAGGACUUUAGGACCACACAGCAGGGGCCAUCUGUCUAGAUUUCUAUGUGGGUCUUCUGUAUCAUUUCCCUUGAGGAAGCCAUGAGAACAACAGAGUUUUACUCUGAAACGAAUGAAGCUAAAGUCCAGGGCCCUACAUUUGCCUAGGUAUCUUCAAG
ensembl:lncRNA